GGGAAACAACUGUUGUGUGAAUGGAACAUCUAUUGACACACCUUAUUCGGCAUGGUAUCCUUGGUUGCAUCAUCUAUUGCAAUUGUUGGUUUGAAGGUUAACAAUGUGCUGGUUUAAUUAUUUGAGAUAACAAGCAUUUUUAUUGACCCAUAAAGCUUAUUGGUGUGCUGAUUUCAGUUGCCAGAGAUGUUUAUGUUCCAGGAAUAGUUCAAUUCAGUGUAGGAGACGGGGAGGCUGAAGACCUGCUUCCUCAAUCUCAAUUAUUGGAGCUGCUGGUUUCAAGACUACAGAUGCUGCUUAUAUUCCAUGAAUAUUUUGAUUCAGGGAAGGAGAAGGGAACGGGGAUGAACUGCUGCAUCAACUAUUGCAGUUGUGGAGGCUCAGGCGCUGCAGACGUUUUUGUUCCCAUGAAUAUUUGGAUUCACUGAAGAGACGGAAGUGAAUAACCUGCUACAUCAACGUUUAAAGGGUAGAUAUGUUGUGGAUAGAGUUCUGGUUGUUUGCGUGUGUGGGUGCUUUGUGCGGAGUCAGUCCAGGCCACGAGUCGGUUAUAAACUAUAGUGAUCUCAAACCAUAAAAAAUAUAUUUUAACUGCAGAUGUAAAGGUUUAUGAAUUUAUUUGUGUUCAAAUGCCUUUUUAGAAUUGAAAAUUGUUUUUCGUUUUUCUUUUGGUAAACGUUUCCAACCGGCGCACCGGCCGAAGCUUGAGCCGGUCGCACGGGGUGCGUUUGAUCGAGUGGGAUCGAACGAACCGUUUUUUUGCUCGGGGUACAGCUGGACUAGGUAAUGUGGCCCACUCUCCACCAAACAUUCCUUAUCCUUUUCUUCUUUCUUCUUCUUCCUCCGUCCGCAUCUAGACUUCACCGCUGCUUCUUUUUCCUCCCGUAGCAACACCUUGCAAGCUGCUGGUUUUCUUCAUCGGAGGCGGUGGUGCUGAAUAGCAGCCACCUCACGUCCGAGCCUCCGCUCCUCCUCGUUGUUGCCUGCGCACACACCGCUGCAAGGUCAACACUCAUGACGAUGCAACAUCACCAUGGACGUGCCCACACAGCUUUGCUUUUUCUACGGAGUGCUGCAACCGGUCAUGGGAGAUGCUACAUCCGCCGUGAGGGAUGCUAUAACCCAUAAACUUUUUUUGCUGGAACCAACUACUGUAUUUGUCGCUGAUUCUUUUUUUUGCUGGAACUAGUGUUUGGUUUGCUACCACCGGUGACAUGGUUUGCUACCACCAUACGCAGCGACCGGCCGACGUCAAUUUUUUUUCUUGCUACAACCGUGUCAUAUUUUUGCUGCAAUCGGCAGCCACAGAAGCUACAAUCGGUUAACAUUUUUGCUACAAUGGCGACGACGGGCGGCACCGGCGAGCUUUUAAUUUGCUGGAACCGUUACCCUUUUUUGCUACAACCGUUCGUUCUUUUUGCUGCUACCGACACCCCGACGGAGAGUACAGUUUCUUUGUGAGCUCAUCGCCGGAGGUGCUGCGACCUGCAAUCACCGCACCCCGAAGCUGCGUCCGCCGUCAUCGGAGCUGCGACCGUCGUCACGGGGAGCUGCAACUACGGGGACAUAUGUUGCUGCAUGCAUGGAGCCGACGAGAAACACAUGAGAUGACGGCAGCGAGGGGUGGCGACCAGCGUGACGCGCCAGGCAGUGCUUCUAGGCCGGGCGCGUCGCUCGUCCAUGGCGGCGCUAUGGGGCUGCUUCCUAGGGAAGAAGACACAGGGGAAGAAGGAAGGAGAUCCUGGGGUUCUAAAUUGCUUAAUUUGCUACAAUCAUUGUUUUUUUUCUGGAAUUAGUCUACUUUUUUGCUACGAUCGACCACUGAAUCUUUCCCGGUUCGAGUUUGUUUUCUUCUGGAACCGGUGCUUAAUUUUGCUACAAUCAUUGUUUUUUCUGCUGGAACUAGUCUACUUAUUUGCUACAAUUGACCACUGAAUCCCUAGCUGAGUCUACUUUUUUGCUUCCACCAUGUUCUGUUUUUGCUGGAUCCUGUCAUUGUUUUUGCUUCCACCAUGUUCUGUUUUUUUGGGCACCACAAUCAGAGUUGCGACCGUGGGGGCGUUGUCGGGCUGCCGCCGGCGAGUUGGCUGGUGCUGCAGUAGAAGCAUGCGAAGGAUUAGGGGGGAGGAGGAGGUGCAUGGUUGCUGGGCAUGGACAUGGGAAGACUAGGGGGAGGAGUGGAGACGCGGCGACGGCGAACUCCGAC
rnacentral:lncRNA from 1 species